UACGGAGGGUGCAAGCGUUGUCCGGAUUUAUUGGGUUUAAAGGGUGCGUAGGCGGCCCGGUAAGUCAGCGGUGAAAUCCCAGGGCUCAACCCUGGAACUGCCGUUGAUACUGCCGGGCUUGAGUUUGGUCGAGGCGGGCGGAACUGGUGGUGUAGCGGUGAAAUGCAUAGAUACCACCAAGAACCCCGAUUGCGUAGGCAGCUCGCUGGGCCAAAACUGACGCUGAGGCACGAAAGCGUGGGGAGCGAACAGG
rnacentral:rRNA from 1 species